rnacentral:rRNA from 1 species
ACUCCUACGGGAGGCAGCAGUGGGGAAUAUUGGACAAUGGGGGCAACCCUGAUCCAGCCAUGCCGCGUGAGUGAUGAAGGCCUUAGGGUUGUAAAGCUCUUUCAGCGAGGAGGAUAAUGACGUUACUCGCAGAAGAAGCCCCGGCUAACUUCGUGCCAGCAGCCGCGGUAAUACGAAGGGGCUAGCGUUGUUCGGAAUCACUGGGCGUAAAGCGCACGUAGGCGGAUUGAUAAUU